GUGGGGGGGAGGAGGGGAGAGUCUGAGAUUUGGAGAGAAAAUUUUUUAAGAAAAAUCCUUAGUUUUCUCCUUUGAGUUCUUCUACAUUUUUUCAGAUUGAUGCCGGAGAAGAAGGUUUUAAAAAACAUUUCAGUUUCUUUUUGCUUUGGUCUUAGUUUCUGUUACUUUGUAAGUGUCCACCAAAUUGUAGAGUACCUGGUUCUCUACAAGUUUCUGCUGAGAGCACUUAGUAAAGCAGUAAGUAAAUGAGGCAGAGUAUUUUAACGUAGAACAAUCAUGCACAAGGGUAUCAAAAAAUCAUGACCUUCCCAGUAGGCUAUAGAUGAUUUUUUUAUGUGCAAAAAUCUCGCACAGGGGAUCAAAAAACCACGACCUACACUGUAGGCUUUUAACUUCACUAACUUGUAAUCUUACCUAUUGCAAGCUACUUUAUAAUACUUCCGAUUGCCAAGGAUUUACUCAACUAACUUGUGGUACCUCUACCACAAGCCACUUUGUGACUUUCCUAGUUACAAAGGCUUUUUCUAACUUAUGGUGUUGUCACCAUAAGCCACUUUGUAACUCUAUAAUUACAAAGAAUUUUCCUUAUGACUAAAUCUAGUCACAACUUAAACUCAAUGAGUUUACGAAGUUCCUAAUCAGUAUGCUUCUAAGUAAGCGAUCUAGGAGAUAUAGUAAGUACAAUAACAAUGGUUUUUCUAUUUUUUCUAAAGGCUUGAAUAAAAAAUAGAAACAUUCUAGUGAUGUUUUUGUGUAAAGCCCCAUUGGUACAUCUUGAUCACACCACUUGAAAUGAUGUGAGUACUUUGUUUGGUUAGAGAAUGAGUGGGCUGAUAGUGUAGUGCACUGUGGCAAAAACAGUACCAUCAGUCACUUCAGUUCCAGCUAUGUCCAAUUGACUCUGUACUGCUAUAUAGAAACCACAAGAGUAUCAGGUCCUUGUUUGGUUCCUAGCUCAUGAGUCUGUAGCAGUUCAUCUUUAACCAGAGUCCGUUAAAGUUUGUAGCAAUUCAAAGUAGGCUAGGUUCCCUAACUGGUUCUGAGCAGUAAGUUUGUUAGAUCAUCAAAACAUAAGGCAAAAGUGUUUAAGAUCUGUCAAUUUCCCCCCUUUUUGAUAUGACAAACUUAACAAUCAUAAAGUCAGAAUUGGGCAGUAAAAUAAAAGAUAGGUGUUAAACCGGUGGGCCGGGCCGGGUUGCUAUUUUUUGGACCCGUACGGGUUAUGGUCUGGGUUGGUUACAGGUUGGGGCUUAAUGGGUUUAACGGGUUCAGGUUCAUCCAGGUAAAAAUUGAACUGUAAGGAUUACAGGUUAAGGGGUCGGGUCAGGCCGGGUUUAGUGUAUUUUUUAAUUUAUUUUCUAUUUUGUAUAACUAUUGUAAGUUAUAUUAAUACUUUGUAUUAAUUUAAAGAUUACAAGUUAUGUUAAUACUUUGUAUUAAUAUAAAUCAAGUGCUACAUUUAUUUCAAAAUUCAAAAUUAAAGUUUACAUUUAAAAAGUAAAUUAACAAAAAAAUAGUAAA
rnacentral:lncRNA from 1 species